rfam:Populus trichocarpa scaffold_2_contig_154, whole genome shotgun sequence.
CAAUAUGUCUAGGGCAGAUCCUCAUUUAGUUAUGGUAGACCCAUACCUGGCUGCCCAGAAUCACCUGUUAUUACAAGCCCAACUACACCAGAAGGUAUAGACUUUAUAAAAAGUACUUUUCACCUAAUAUUAUAGU